GCAUAGCCGAGUUGAGAGACUGAUCGGCCACAUUGGGACUGAGACACGGCCCAAACUCCUACGGGAGGCAGCAGUAGGGAAUCUUCCACAAUGGACGCAAGUCUGAUGGAGCAACGCCGCGUGAGUGUAGAAGGGUUUCGGCUCGUAAAAGCUCUGUUGUUGGUGAAGAAGGACAGGGGUAGUAACUGACCUUUGUUUGACGGUAAUCAAUUAGAAAGCCACGGCUAACUACGUGCCAGCAGCCGCGGUAAAU
rnacentral:rRNA from 1 species